UACGAAGGGGGCUAGCGUUGCUCGGAAUCACUGGGCGUAAAGGGUGCGUAGGCGGGUCUUUAAGUCAGGGGUGAAAUCCUGGAGCUCAACUCCAGAACUGCCUUUGAUACUGAGGAUCUUGAGUUCGGGAGAGGUGAGUGGAACUGCGAGUGUAGAGGUGAAAUUCGUAGAUAUUCGCAAGAACACCAGUGGCGAAGGCGGCUCGCUGGCCCGAUACUGACGCUGAGGCACGAAAGCGUGGGGAGCAAACAGG
rnacentral:rRNA from 1 species